rnacentral:rRNA from 1 species
UACGAAGGGGGCUAGCGUUGUUCGGAUUUACUGGGCGUAAAGCGCACGUAGGCGGAUUGGUCAGUUAGGGGUGAAAUCCUGGAGCUCAACUCCAGAACUGCCUUCGAUACUGAUGAGCUUGAGUUCGGGAGAGGUGAGUGGAACUGCUAGUGUAGAGGUGAAAUUCGUAGAUAUUAGCAAGAACACCAGUGGCGAAGGCGGCUCACUGGCCCGGUACUGACGCUGAGGUACGAAAGCGUGGGGAGCAAACAGGG